rnacentral:rRNA from 1 species
UAGUCCACGCCGUAAACGAUGAGUGCUAAGUGUUAGAGGGUUUCCGCCCUUUAGUGCUGCAGCUAACGCAUUAAGCACUCCGCCUGGGGAGUACGGUCGCAAGACUGAAACUCAAAGGAAUUGACGGGGGCCCGCACAAGCGGUGGAGCAUGUGGUUUAAUUCGAAGCAACGCGAAGAACCUUACCAGGUCUUGACAUCCCACUGACCGGUAUAGAGAUAUACCUUUCCCUUCGGGGACAGUGGUGAC